UCUGAUGCAGCAACGCCGCGUGGAGGAUGACGCAUUUCGGUGUGUAAACUCCUUUUAUAAGGGAAGAUAAUGACGGUACCUUAUGAAUAAGCACCGGCUAACUCCGUGCCAGCAGCCGCGGUAAUACGGAGGGUGCAAGCGUUACUCGGAAUCACUGGGCGUAAAGGAUGCGUAGGCUGGAAAUCAAGUCGAGAGUGAAAUCCAACGGCUCAACCGUUGAACUGCUCUCGAAACUGGUUACCUAGAAUAUGGGAGAGGUAGAUGGAAUUGGUGGUGUAGGGGUAAAAUCCGUAGAUAUCACCAGGAAUACCGAUUGCGAAGGCGAUCUACUGGAACAUUAUUGACGCUGAGGCAUGAAAGCGUGGGGAGCAAACAGGAUUAGAUACCCUGGUAGUCCACGCCCUAAACGAUGCACACUAGUUGUUGCGAUGCUAGUCAUUGCAGUAAUGCACUUAACAGAUUAAGUGUGCCGCCUGGGGAGUACGGUCGCAAGAUUAAAACUCAAAGGAAUAGACGGGGACCCGCACAAGCGGUGGAGCAUGUGGUUUAAUUCGAAGAUACACGAAGAACCUUACCUGGCCUUGAUAUCCUAAGAAUCCUUUAGAGAUAAGGGAGUGCUAGUUUACUAGAACUUAGAGACAGGUGCUGCACGGCUGUCGUCAGCUCGUGUCGUGAGAUGUUGGGUUAAGUCCCGCAACGAGCGCAACCCUCGUGAUUAGUUGCUAACAGUUCGGCUGAGCACUCUAAUCAGACUGCCUUCGCAAGGAGGAGGAAGGUGAGGACGACGUCAAGUCAUCAUGGCCCUUAUGGCCAGGGCUACACACGUGCUACAAUGGCUAGGACAAAGAGACGCGAUACUGCGAAGUGGAGCAAAUCUUAAAACCUAGUCUCAGUUCGGAUUGGAGUCUGCAACUCGACUCCAUGAAGCUGGAAUCGCUAGUAAUCGUAGAUCAGAUAUGCUACGGUGAAUACGUUCCCGGGUCUUGUACUCAC
rnacentral:rRNA from 1 species